CCCAAACCCAAGAGAGAUACUGAAAAGGAGAAUCAUCCCAGGCAUCCGCAGAGUGGAGACAUUUAGGAUUCAUUUCAUCAUGAGAUCAGAAGCCAUCAUAUAAAUACAGCUCUAUAGCAGAGCACACAGGGGGUAGCAUCUGAGUGAGCUGCAGUCUGGCAGAUUGUGAGAAACGAAAGAGCUCAGAGAGCUGAGAAGAAAGGAAGAAAGUAAAAGGUAGCUGCAUAUGAAUCCAGAAUCUGAUUCUGGCAUCAGAAGCAUUCAGAUGCCCUUUGGUGCUCAUUGGGUAACAAGCACCAAAUCUGACUUUUGGGAGUGCAGAUCCUUUCCACCUUUCCGUUACUUUCCAACACCGCUGAUGUCUGAUGGAAACUGUGACAGAAAAUUCUGAUUUCACAUGACGUUUACAAAGCUGUCGGAACAUCACCAGCUGUCAAUCAUGCAACGCUUCCUGGACUGCUGUGAAGAUAAGUCCUCUCGUUCAUGUCAACCUGCUGUGCUCCGAAUGAAAAGACCUCUCUGUCUGUGCAAGAAAAACUCCUCAGCACAGCAUUUUCUUUUCAAUUAGCGCAUAAAUCACCUUCACCUUGUAUAAAGUGUUUCUAUAUUGCGUCCUCUUAACUUUCAUUCAUUUGCUGGCAAAUUCUCGCUCUGGCUGUGUUAUAAAUCAUGCGUGCUGGAUUCACGGUGAUCUGUGUUCAUGAUCUGAGCUGGCUGAGCCUUCACCACACAGCAGGUUCUGAUCAGUUCAGCAGGGGCGUUUCACUUAUUUCUUGCAGCAAUCUAACCCAUCAAACUGCAUUGCACAUUUAAUACUAAUGCUCUUUUUGAGACUCGCAGCCAUCUUUAGCACCUAUAAACCUGAUGAUAACACUUUAAUUGUGUAGCUUGUGCUUCGCACGUCUGCCUCAGAAAAUGACACAUUACUCCUGUAUAUUCACUAUUUAUGCUAUAUUUGUGAUUGGU